UACAGAGGUGGCAAGCGUUGUUCGGAAUUACUGGGCGUAAAGCGCACGUAGGCGGUGUUCCAUGUCAGAGGUGAAAGCCUGGGGCUCAACUCCAGAAUUGCCUUUGAAACGGGAACGCUUGAGUCCGAGAGAGGAUAGCGGAAUUCCUAGUGUAGAGGUGAAAUUCGUAGAUAUUAGGAAGAACACCAGUGGCGAAGGCGGCUAUCUGGCUCGGUACUGACGCUCAGGUUCGAAAGCGUGGGGAGCAAACAGG
rnacentral:rRNA from 1 species